UUGGGUCUAAUUAAAAUUAAAAAAAAAUGGUGUUCUAUACUUUACUAAUUAUUCUUAAAAACAAAUUUUGGGUCACAACUAAUUAUUUUAGCUUACUUAACCAUUUUAUUCUUAGGCCCUAAUUAAUUUAAUUUCGGAAUGGGCCUCACAAUAUACUAUGCCUUGAAGUCUCAAAUUAAUUUGAAGUAGUUGGGCUCUAAUUGUAGUUGGGCUCGAAUAAAUUAUAUUACCCAUUUAAUUAGUUCAUGAGCCCAAAGUAGGAAACCCAUUUACAAACUACCCUACCCUUGUCUUCUUCCCUCAAUUCCCAAAUUCACAGCAGCAGCCCCCCCUUUCUCCCACGUUUCUGCCACUGUCGCCAAUCCCACCACCGCCGGCCUCAGUACCACCACCCGCCGCCGCCGGCCUCAGUACCACCACCCGCCGCCGCCGGCCUCUCUCUUCUCUCUCUCUCUCUCUCGUCGCAGUACCGCCGCCACCACCACUGCGGAUCCGCCUCAUCCACCGUCGCCGAGGCCCUCCCCAGCCGUCGUGCGUGUCGCUGCCGCCGCUGUGCAUGCACAAGCGGCGGCUCCGGCAUCUCCCCUAUGCCGUUGCUUCACCACCGCCAGCCUCCCCCCACACUCUGCGACCACUGACUCCAUUCUCCGACAACACCACAAACGCCAUCCACCUCCUCCAUUUGGAAAGGACUCGGUUCAAGCUCGUGGCUGUCCGUGUUAAAGUACCCGUUUUUUUUUAAACAUACAAUGUAUAAAUAAAUUUUCUCGAACUUUUAUUGGGUGUAUCGGACAUUAAAAUUUUAAUUAUGGGACUUUAUUUAUUUAUUUAAAAUUUAUUA